rnacentral:tRNA from 1 species
UCCCUGGUAGCUCAGAGGUUAAAGCGUCUGCCUGCAAUGCAGGAAACCCAGGUUCAAUCCCUGGGUCGGGAA